rnacentral:lncRNA from 1 species
CGGCCAAGAUCCGUUGCAGUAGCCGGCACGCCGGCGGCAGGGACCAUCGCGAUGGCGACACGACGCCAGUCACCCGCCUUCUGCCUCGUGAUUCGUGCUCUCCCUCCACCCAUCGAGCGCCUCAGGUAUCGCGAAGGCCGACCACGGCACCCAUGUGGCGCUCAUGGUGCAGUCGCCCUCCCCGGCACCACCAUCGCCACCACCGCCACUACAGUCUUGUCAUGGCUCCUCGGAACUUGUGAAGGCAAAAAGAAACGCCACCCUCGCACGCUGCUUCUUUCGAGAGGAAAAGUGGCGGUCAGUGGAGGUUUGGCGUCUGCUGAGCCUGGGGAAGCCUGCAGAUACCCUGGAUUUGAUCUCAGUACGUAGGGGAAUAGCACACGCGACGCAAGGAAUGAAAGCAACUUUUCGAUGUAUAUAUCUACAUGCUGAUGGAAGUACGUACGCGGGUGCAUGCUCUCAGCAACAUCAUCGUCGAUACAGGUGUGGGCUGCAAGACCAUGAUCUCCUCGGUUCGUCUCGCAGAUGCAUGGAAAGUCUUGUUGCUCCACCUGCGGACACCGAGAAGACUUCAAGCUGGGGUUCUUUUAGCUAAUCUACCCUGCUUCUGCAGGAAGGAGGAGAAACAGUACACGUGAUAUGCUCA